UACGUAGGGGUGCAAGCGUUAAUCGGAAUUACUGGGCGUAAAGCGUGCGCAGGCGGUUUUGUAAGUCAGAUGUGAAAUCCCCGGGCUUAACCUGGGAACUGCGUUUGAAACUACAAGGCUAGAGUGUGACAGAGGGGGGGUGGAAUUCCACGUGUAGCAGUGAAAUUCGUAGAUAUGGGGAGGAACACCGGGUGGCGAAGGCGGCCACCUGGACGGAUACUGACGCUGAGACGCGAAAGCGUGGGGAGCAAACAAGG
rnacentral:rRNA from 1 species